rnacentral:rRNA from 1 species
UACGAAGGGGGCUAGCGUUGCUCGGAAUCACUGGGCGUAACGCGCACGUAGGCGGCUUUUUAAGUCAGGGGUGAAAUCCUGGAGCUCAACUCCAGAACUGCCUUUGAUACUGGCUAUCUUGAGUUCGGGAGAGGUGAGUGGAAUGCCGAGUGUAGAGGUGAAAUUCGUAGAUAUUCGGCGGAACACCGGUGGCGAAGGCGGCAUCCUGGACCGACACUGACGCUGAGGAGCGAAAGCCAGGGGAGCAAACGGG